GGGGGUGACCUGAAUCGACAAAGAAAUUACUUUCUUCUGUGCAACGUGGUGAAUGUUGGAGAACACCUAAAAUCUCGAACAACCAACAGUGUGAAAAACACUAUGACCGCAUCGUGGUUUACCCGUGCGGACUUUGCUUUCGCUCACGCCUAAGCAACAUCAUCUACACGACUCCUGAUAGUGUAGCUCUGGUGUCAUAUCAUCAGGAUUAUCUGAAAGCCUGCCCGCCUUUCAGAAACAUGUAGGGCUCGGUAUGCAGUUAUCUUGUUUGUUUCUUACCUGCAUGCUUAAACCUCGAAAUAAACUAUACGUUGUAGAAUCGGUUUAAAGACCUUCUUUGGACGAGGGCUCAUUACCCUCCACCUCCACCA
rnacentral:tmRNA from 1 species